rnacentral:rRNA from 1 species
CAGCCGCCGCGGGAAUACGUAGGGUGCAAGCGUUAAUCGGAAUUACUGGGCGUAAAGCGUGCGCAGGCGGUUUCUUAAGUCUGAUGUGAAAGCCCCCGGCUCAACCGGGGAGGGUCAUUGGAAACUGGGAAACUUGAGUGCAGAAGAGGAGAGUGGAAUUCCACGUGUAGCGGUGAGAUGCGUAGAGAUGUGGAGGAACACCAGUGGCGAAGGCGACUCUCUGGUCUGUAACUGACGCUGAGGAGCGAAAGCGUGGGGAGCGAACAGGAUUAGAUACCCCCGUAGUCCCUGUCUCUUAUAA